rnacentral:tRNA from 1 species
UGGAACGGGGUGUGAUUGGUAGCACAGGGAAUUUUGAGUUCUCAGGAGUAGGUUCGAUUCCUAUAGUUCUAG